ensembl:lncRNA
AUAUAAUAUAUCUCAAAUAUAUUUUUUGUAUGACUAAAAUCGGUCAGAUGGUGUUAACAUUUGAGUGUACUUGACAUAGUAAACUGUAUAAAAUACACUGUUGCCAAAAAAAAGGAACACAAAUUAAUAUUUUUUUAAGACUACAUUUAAGUUAAGUAAAUGACAUAACAUUUUAAAUAGUUAGUAAAUGACAAGCUGCUGUACUGGCAAAGAAGCUCUAGAAACUAGGGCAGUUUUGCCAAUUUUCUAAAUUAAACUCCUAACCAGUGAUUUGUGUUAACAGUUUUCUAUAGUUACUGUAAUAGUGAGACACUAUGUACAGAUAUUAGGGUUCGAACCAAUAUUAGGGUUGUAAAACUGUUGCGUGCCCCCCCCCCCCCACAAGGAUUAACUGUACAAAAUUACCACAUUUUUAUUUCUGGAUUGUCAGAGGUAGUGGAUGAUUGUAUCCUAGAAAGACAGAAAUUUGUCAGUUAAUUUUGUGUAAUGGUAAUUCGUUUUUUCCCUACCUAGACUUGGAUAUAGAUGUCUCUUUGAGUUCUGUUCAUAACAUUUUGUGGUUGCUUAGAUUCCUCAGAACACCACUCUAAUUUCAACCACGAAUGAACCACAGCUGCCAGUGCCUGCAUAACUCGGUCACUAAUCACACACUCCUUACGUCUCCUGGAGAUGUUUUACACUCCAGCAGGAACUCAACCACCGCAUUCUUUCCCACACUAUCCCAUUCCCCUCACUGGCUGCACUUUACUGUGCACUCCCCAUGAAGGUAGCACUUUAUCCUAGAAUGGCCAUGUAGGUACUUCCCAACUUAUUUCAGUAUCUCAAAACAGUAUAUUCCCCAUGCCAGGCCUAAUCCAAACUUAAAACCACCAAACGUUUGUGUAGUUGUUUAUUGAUCAAAUAAGCCUGCCCUGGGGUUAAGUAUAAGGAUUCUUUCAUAUCUAUUAGUCCAUCUGCUAAGUCGUAGACAGGGCGAAAUAACUGAUACUUUUGGUUUGUUUGCUACCUGGUUUGGUUUAUCUUCACAUUGCACAUAAUUAAACAAUGAAAAAGCAAAAAAAAAAAAAAUCUUGGCAGAAGGCUGAAAACGUACUCGUAAAACUCAUUCAUUCAUUGGUCAGAAAAACGUCAAUGGAAAAAACGCAAAAAAAAGCUUUAAGUAUUUUCGAAUUCACAAAAAUCACCCGGUGCUCAGUAAAUUACUAGAUAAUUAUAUAAAUAACUAGUUUAAAGCAUUUUGUGCAUCACAUCUGACAAGUAUUUCUACUUUAUUUGCGUAGCAUUUCUACGGCACUACAGCAAUGUUUGGUUCACGUCCUGCAGUGGACUGAUUCAAGGUUGAAUUGCUUUUGAAUCGCAAGAGUUCGCUUGGAACCAGACCUUGUUCAGAAGGCCGCAAUCCGGUUGUUUUGGUCUGCACCCAAAUGUGAUUGCCUUGUUCUCACCUGCACAAACGAACCACACCAAGGGGGAAGACACAACAGGGUUCGAUUUAAAUGGGCUAAACGCUGCGUAUGUGAAAGCACCUUUAGAGGCUUCUUGUUACCAGUCGUUCAGUAUAAACUGUCUUAUUGCCAUAUGUGCUAAAUCAUUUAAUGUAUUAUUCACAAAAAUGAUGCAGUUCAAAUUGCAGUCUGGUUUCGAGAGAUGUGUAUGUUGGAGUAGGCAGUAUGGAUGGGCAGAUCUGGGUAGUAGAACGUAUCGUUUCACAUGAACACUAAUGCAUGCUGUUCUAUCCUUUCAUGCUUACCUGUAUUAAUAUUAAAGUGGUGUGGAUGUUCAGUUUGUGGCAUCAUAUCACUGAUUAGUUCUCAUGAGCAUGGUCAAGUCAUACAGCACUGUGGCUGCUCGUGCUAUCUGUAUGUGAAUCGCUACAGUGAAAGUUUUUUCUCUUUAUGGUGCCAUGACUCAAAUUCUGAAAGAAAAGCAGAGGAGGCUAUUUUGUUUACAUGAUUAUGAAUUGCCAACAAAAAAAACAUUGGAGGUGGAUAUAGUAGGCAUUAUCUAAAUCUAAAUGCGGAAUGAAAUAAAUAAAUAAAUAUAUAUAUAUAUAUAUAUAUAUAUAUAUAUAUAUAUAUAUAUAUAUAUAUAUAUAUAUAUAUAUAUAUAUAUAUAUAAUUUUUUUUUUUUUUUUAACCUGACCACCCUAAAAAACCUCAAAUAAUUUAUUAAUUCAGUUGAAGGUGUACAGUAAUCGCAGAAAUACACGUAUGCCUCUUUUACAGUGGGAUUGUGUGUGUGCUUUUGCUGUAAUUAUAAACAGCCCUAAAUGUGCUGGCUUUUGUGUUCUGACUUUAUUUUAUUUACAUUCCUAUAUUUCAUGUAUGACCUAUUGCUACUUGUGUUAUUUAAAGCUGUGUGUACUGCAGAUUUGACAUUAUAGUUUAAAGGUAAAUAUUUUGUUACUUGUGCAGUGUCAUGCUCAUCUCCGUGAAGUAGACAGACAAUAUUACACUGACUUCUCUAUUUUUCCUGCUUAUUUGUAUGAUCUUGAAAAGUCAAAUAUUUAAUAAUUUAUGUCAGUAUAACUUAUAAUUGUGAUUACACUAGUGAAGUUGCUGAAUAGUUUACAUAUUAAAAGCCUAAAAUAAGAGCACUACACCUGUUUAAAGCUGUGGCUAAGAAUAAAGCUUUUUCAUGUGAAGCUGUCAAGUUUUCUGGUUUUAUUCAAUGCAAACUUACCAUUGAA